CCUACGGGAGGCAGCAGUGAGGAAUAUUGGUCAAUGGCCGAGAGGCUGAACCAGCCAAGUCGCGUGAAGGAAGAAGGCUUUCGGGUUGUAAACUUCUUUUCUCAGGGACGAAGCAAGUGACGGUACCUGAGGAAUAAGCCACGGCUAACUACGUGCCAGCAGCCGCGGUAAUACGUAGGUGGCAAGCGUUAUCCGGAUUUACUGGGUGGAAAGGGCGUGUAGGCGGGAAAGCAAGUCAGAUGUGAAAACCAUGGGCUCAACCUGUGGCCUGCAUUUGAAACUGUUUUUCUUGAGUACUGGGGAGGCAGACGGAAUUCCUAGUGUAGCGGUGAAAUGCGUAGAUAUUAGGAGGAACACCAGUGGCGAAGGCGGUCUGCUGGACAGCAACUGACGCUGAGGCGCGAAAGCGUGGGGAGCAAACAGGAUUAGAUACCCUAGUAGUC
rnacentral:rRNA from 1 species